rnacentral:lncRNA from 1 species
CAGACACUGUUCUAGAACUUUAACAUACCUUACGUCAUUUAACCAUGAUCACAUCUCCAUGAAGGAGGUACAAUAUUACAAUAUUACAUCCUAUGUUAUAGAUGAUGAAUUAGAGACUAAGAGAAAGGAGCAAAGAAAAAUUUGUGGCUCUGAAAUCUCCAUGGAACCACUUGUUUUAAGUACACAGAGUAAAACAGCACAAGUGACAAUAGACCAUGGAAUGUUGCUCUGGCAACUGGAAGUUGGCUGGCUCUCUGGUCCUGUCAGCCCACCACCAUGCUGUCCUCACCCUGAGCACCACGAGAGACUUUCUCAGCACACACUGCAGCUGUGUGAAUUUCUACCAUCUUUGAGAGCAGGACACUAGAAACUCUGAUUAUGUCCAACUCUAGCUUCCUAUAUAGAGAGAACUGGCCUGUUAUUUCCAAUCUACAAUAAAUGAUUUGAUCUUUCUGAUUUAGAAGCCAAGAGCAGCUUUGAUAAAUUGUGUUUUUCUAAGUCUAAGGGGACUCCAGUUCAAAGUUCAAGAAAAAGUCUCAUUUUAAAAUCUGAAAACAACUGCAACUCUCCUAGUCCCAUCUAAUUCAGGCAUAAUCGUGAAAUGAUCUAAUUUCCAAGGACAACAUAUGACAAUGAGCUUAGUAGAGAAGAGCCUGAAUUUGAAAGUUUUACAGUUUUGGGAAGAAUUACAAUCUCAACUCUCCUCUGAAUCCAAAAAGAUGGACAACUCAAAGGAUUGAGGGCCUUCUGGAUAACACAAUGGGAUAAAAAUAUAGCCACAAAUGGAGGGAUCUAUAUGGAGCAGUGCCAUAUGUCACAUUUGGGUGGAGCCAACCUGGAUCCUCAGCAUCUGUGGUGUGCUGUUGGCCUUCAGCACUGCCAGUCUCUUUCCAAGGGGAUGACUCCUUCCUUCUCCACUAGUGUCCUCUGCUAUUUUCCCAGGAAAAUGAGCACUCCAGAAAGCAUUGGAAACUGUCACCAUGACAGCUCCUGAGGAUGUAUCAGAGAACAAGACACUGCCUCUGCCCACAGAGAACUUACGGUGUAGAAGGAGAUAUAGGCAAAUAAAC